rnacentral:snoRNA from 1 species
UAUCAGGUUACUCAUGUCAAAAAGGGAGUGUUGGAUACAUCGCUGGAAAUGUCUCAUAGAGUAACAUUGUGGUUUUGCUUUCCUCACAGGACUAUUUGUUAGAUCUGUGGGAAGAAACUACCAGAUAGUU